CCUGGAGAUCCUUUCUUGCUGAAGCUUUCCCCUGUGAACCAAGAAUCUUCUGAUAUGGGAUGCAAUUGUCACUGCGGUUGGAAGCCAAUCAACGCGUUGUGAGUGGGAACCUGCUGGUACUUUCCAAUGGUCCUUGAUUAAAAAGGAAGCUCUUGGCUAUCUUCAAGCAGCAGGAGAGGAAACAGCGCGGCGAAGGAUUUGGAGGACUGGGAGAAGGCAGCAAAAUGCUUCUGCUCCGGCGAUCAGGGACGACGUGGUGGCCACAGAUGUCAGUUGAGAGUUGUUUUAUAAAAUGAAUCUCUGUAAGCUGCUGCUCUACGGGGAUGGAACAAGAACAGAAGAGCCGUGAAUUCAAGGCCAUCUUGGGAUGAUUUUUCUAGGACAUGGAGUCUCUGCAGUGCCAAGGGACCUCGAUUAGCCCGAACAGCUAAAGCAUUCCAUCUAACGAGUCUCUGCUCUAAUGCAGGCAUAAGAAUUCAGGACAUUUAUCUGUAGGAAUUCAUCAAGCUGAACCUGGAACUAUUGCUUCAGCAGUAGCUACACAAAACUGAGAAAAGAAGGAAGCUGCUAUACGCCAUCUACUUAUGGAAGAAAACAUCCUUUGAUUCUACAUCUUCUGAAGGAGUGAUAAACUUUAAAAUCAUGAAGCUACAUUCAGAAGUUCUUACGCCAAGACUGCAUGUGUGCUAGUACCACUGAAAUCAGUAGGAGUCAUUUCAGUGUUUCAAAAUCAGCUUUUAUUCAAAAUCAGGAUUUUUUUCCCCUCUUCCUUUAAGGAAAAAAAAAAAAUUUUUUGUUUUCCAACCCAUGUGUUAACUUGUCAGAUCAGUUGUCAGGCUGCGGUAGAAGCUGAAAGCUUAAUCAUUGUGCUUUUUAUUUUUAUUUAGAAUUGUAUUUACUUAUUCUUUGUUUCGCCGACUCUGUUAUCUUAGAAAGAGGAAUUCAUCUUCCAGCAGGGUUAGAAACUUCUCUUCUAAAGUCAAAUUUGCCAUUGCAAACACCUACACUUACCAUGGGAAAUUCUCCCUUACUGCACAUCUGCUAUGCUGCUCUGUCACCCUCUGGCUCUGUUUUGAAUUCUAGUACCACUAAAAAAAAAAAAAGAUUUUAUCUAAGAUUUCAAUGUUAGUCAUGACAUUGUGUUUUGCUUCAAUACUAAGCCGUUCUAUGGCACUUAAACAAUAUUUCAUGCAGUGAAUCGUUGUCAGCAUCAGCAAUCAAAGAACAGGAGUUGUUGGAAAGAUUGCCAUUUGUGUUGGAUACCAUUCGAGGUCGUCCACACAGCACUAGAAAUCUUGCUAUCCUUUCUAGGGCGCUUCGUAGGGCAUUUGUACCACACAACUUCAGGUAUCUCAUUUAUUCAAUUAAUGUAGGAACCUGAUCUCUAGUUCCCUCUAUAAUCAAUGGGUAAUAGGGAGAGCUCCUCUAUGGUGUGACUUGGAGCAGCUAAAUGAGGUUCCUGUUUGAAAUGCUGCUUUAUAGCAGGCUGAGUUUCUCUUUUAAUUACAGAGAAAGUCAAAUUAGACUAGUUUAGUCAUCUAAAAAUGGGCCGUGUGAAUUCCUGCUUUCAUAUACUUACCUCUAGCAUCUAAAUGAGAAGACUCCAGUCAAGUCCUCCUUCCAUAAUAUAUGCCACCUUCCUCUGCAGCUCGCUACGCCAGGCACAAGCAUGAGAGGAUCCAAGACUUUUAGCAGAAGUAACUUUGUCGUUCCCACUCAAUGCCCACACUUAACACAGAGCUGGAAGUCCUGAAUUUUCACCAGUUCAACCAGCCCAGUUCUUGUCCUGCACUACACUGGAAAGUGCCAGUGCAACCCACCUCUGUGUUCUGCUGGAGCUCAACAAGCACCCCACGAACCACAGCUCCUGGCUUUAUCCAAGGUUUCUGUGCUUGUGUGCGUAUGAUGAUUUCAAAGCUAUUCAUGAAGGAGCUUGGAUGCCCUUCUCAGAGUCACUGGAAUAUAUAGUUUUGUCCUCUUGGACAUCGCUGCCAGGGUUGUUUAGGAUCUCAGUGGUAAGAAUGUUGUUUUUUUUCCUCUGAUGUACUUGGUGUAUCUCUGUGCUUUCAGUAUUGGUGUUAUUUAUUGGCAAUGAUUUCCACUUCUAUAAUUCUCCUUUGAAUGGUCAUUUGCUUUGCUGGCCAACAUUUAAGACGUGAGAUCAGUGAUUUUUCUCGUGGCCCAUAAAAUACGAAGAACCUGCACUAAUGCCAUUUUUUACUUUAUUUCUUCCUGAUGGAAAUCCAUAUCUGGAAAAGGUGGGCAGACUCAGAAUUCAUUGGCAGGCGCUGG